rnacentral:rRNA from 1 species
UGCCAGCCGCCGCGGUAAUACGGAGGGGGCUAACGUUGUUCGGAAUUACUGGGCGUAAAGCGCGCGUAGGCGGAUUAGACAGUUGAGGGUGAAAUCCCGGAGCUUAACUCCGGAACUGCCUUCAAUACUACUAAUCUUGAGUUCGGAAGAGGUGAGUGGAAUUCCUAGUGUAGAGGUGAAAUUCGUAGAUAUUAGGAAGAACAUCAGUGGCGAAGGCGACUCACUGGUCCGAUACUGACGCUGAGGUGCGAAAGCGUGGGGAGCAAACAGGAUUAGAUA